UGAACUGNCAAGCUAGAGUGUGUCAGAGGGGGGUAGAAUUCCACGUGUAGCAGUGAAAUGCGUAGAGAUGNGGAGGAAUACCGAUGGCGAAGGCAGCCCCCUGGGAUAACACUGACGUUCAUGCUCGAAAGCGUGGGUAGCAAACAGGAUUAGAUACCCUGGUAGUCCACGCCCUAAACGAUGUCAAUUAGCUGUUGGGCAACUUGAUUGCUUAGUAGCGUAGCUAACGCGUGAAAUUGACCGCCUGGGGAGUACGGUCGCAAGAUUAAAACUCAAAGGAAUUGACGGGGACCCGCACAAGCGGUGGAUGAUGUGGAUUAAUUCGAUGCAACGCGAAGAACCUUACCUGGUCUUGACAUGUACGGAAUCUCUCAGAGACGGGAGAGUGCCUUCGGGAACCGUAACACAGGUGCUGCAUGGCUGUCGUCAGCUCGUGUCGUGAGAUGUUGGGNNAANNNNNNNNAACGAGCGCAACCCUUGUCAUUAGUUGCCAUCAUUUAGUUGGGCACUCUAAUGAGACUGCCGGUGACAAACCGGAGGAAGGUGGGGAUGACGUCAAGUCCUCAUGGCCCUUAUGACCAGGGCUUCACACGUCAUACAAUGGUCGGUACAGAGGGUCGCCAAGCCGCGAGGUGGAGCCAAUCUCACAAAACCGAUCGUAGUCCGGAUUGCACUCUGCAACUCGAGUGCAUGAAGUCGGAAUCGCUAGUAAUCGCAGGUCAGCAUACUGCGGUGAAUACGUUCCCGGGUCU
rnacentral:rRNA from 1 species